CAGCCGCCGCGGUAAUACGUAGGUCCCGAGCGUUGUCCGGAUUUAUUGGGCGUAAAGCGAGCGCAGGCGGUUAGAUAAGUCUGAAGUUAAAGGCUGUGGCUUAACCAUAGUACGCUUUGGAAACUGUUUAACUUGAGUGCAAGAGGGGAGAGUGGAAUUCCAUGUGUAGCGGUGAAAUGCGUAGAUAUAUGGAGGAACACCGGUGGCGAAAGCGGCUCUCUGGCUUGUAACUGACGCUGAGGCUCGAAAGCGUGGGGAGCAAACAGGAUUAGAUACCCGAGUAGUCCCUGUCUCUUAUACC
rnacentral:rRNA from 1 species